UGCUCUACAUUAUUUAUAUCACAUUGAUCAUGAGUUUGUGGGAUCUGCUACUACCUUAUUGCUAUAUUUGUGGAGUUCGACAGGGACUCACUCUUGCUAUUUCCCCCACACCUCAGGAGAAGCUUUAGGCUUGUGAUCAUGAGUUGAUACCCGAAGUCUGGAUUUAUCUUCCGUUGUUUUUGCUGCCUAAGGUUAUCACUGAUUUACUAAGUAUUACAGAAUUGCUUGACAAGGAAGCUAGCAAAUAUCUGAGCAGCAUCAUUGAGAUAGCGAAGAGGGAUCUACUCUGUUGGCGGGCCUUGAUAAAGGCGCUGGCGUUGCCUAGGGUUCGCAAGGACUCAUAUAUAGUCUAUUGAUCAACUUCUCGCCCAAGAAUGUCACAUGUCAUUGAGGGCAUCGCUUAUGCAAGAGAGAGGUUGCAGCAGCCAAUCUCCAACUCUCCAUGCGGCUGUGCAGAGGAAAGCCGGGCGAAAUCAUGGUUAGCUUCCGGUCUACCUUGUUGAUGAUGGAACAGAAUCAAAAGGGACCAGCAGGCAACUUGCCAUUCAGCACUAGAGGGCCAAUAGGUAGCCCGCCAGUCAGCAGCUAGCACUGCAGUAGCCCCAUUGUUGGAACUGCAAAACAAUUUUAAUUUUCAUGGGAUUGUUUGUUGCUUUUGAGGAUGUCAGCAAGUUUGCAUCAACAUCAGUGAUAAAUUAUCUUCUGAACAAGGAUAUGAACUUUCAUUUGUCUUUCUCUGUUGCUAAAAGCAUACUAAAGGCGACGUCGCUUUGACUUUUUUUGGACA